rnacentral:rRNA from 1 species
GACGAACGCUGGCGGCGUGCUUAACACAUGCAAGUCGAACGCUGAAGCUCAGCUUUUGUUGGGUGGAUGAGUGGCGAACGGGUGAGUAACACGUGAGUAACCUGCCUCCUUCUUUGGGAUAACGCCCGGAAACGGGUGCUAAUACUGGAUAUUCACUGGUCUUCGCAUGGGGGUUGGUGGAAAGGGUUUUUCUGGUGGGGGAUGGGCUCGCGGCCUAUCAGCUUGUUGGUGGGGUGAUGGCCUACCAAGGCUUUGACGGGUAGCCGGCCUGAGAGGGUGACCGGUCACAUUGGGACUGAGAUACGGCCCAGACUCCGACGGGAGGCAGCAGUGGGGAAUAUUGCACAAUGGGCGCAAGCCUGAUGCAGCGACGCCACGUGAGGGAUGGAGGCCUUCGGGUUGUGAACCUCUUUCGCUCAUGGUCAAGCCGCAACAAUGGUUGUGGUGAGGGUAGUGGGUAAAGAAGCGCCGGCUAACUACGUG